rnacentral:lncRNA from 1 species
CUCUGGUCAGAUGAGCCAGGCUGAAAAAAUUCUUUGGAGCAGUUGAUGAGGAACAAACAAGGAUGAAGUUACCAGAUCAAAUGGCAUAAAUAAUGGAGCUUCUAGAGCUCUGGUGUCUAUUCUGUGGAAUUCUAAUCUGGUGGGCUGAAUGAUGUUGAACUCUUCCAAAGAAAGGUCCCACUAUAGUGUGUCUGGUUUUCACAAGAAAAAACACAAACUGUUAAAAGCCCUCAUUUUUUACUGUUCAUCAACUAAUUUGGAAAAUAAAAGUCUGAUUUUUGGAAUAAACCUUUACCGUUGCUUGCCAAAACAAACCAUGAUAAAUGUUUUACAGAAGAGCUGAAAUCUUUCAAAC